CUUGCUGACAAAUGUUUUCUUCUCUAG
rnacentral:piRNA from 1 species